UACGUAGGGUGCAAGCGUUGUCCGGAAUUAUUGGGCGUAAAGAGCUCGUAGGCGGUCUGUCGCGUCGGCUGUGAAAACUCGGGGCUCAACCCCGAGCCUGCAGUCGAUACGGGCAGACUAGAGUGCGGUAGGGGAGACUGGAAUUCCUGGUGUAGCGGUGAAAUGCGCAGAUAUCAGGAGGAACACCGGUGGCGAAGGCGGGUCUCUGGGCCGUAACUGACGCUGAGGAGCGAAAGCGUGGGGAGCAAACAGG
rnacentral:rRNA from 1 species